GGGGAAUAUUGGGCAAUGGACGAAAGUCUGACCCAGCAACGCCGCGUGAAGGAAGAAGGCUUGCGGGUUGUAAACUUCUUUUAAGGGGGAAGAGCAGAAGACGGUACCCCUUGAAUAAGCCACGGCUAACUACGUGCCAGCAGCCGCGGUAAUACGUAGGUGGCAAGCGUUGUCCGGAUUUACUGGGUGUAAAGGGCGUGCAGCCGGGAAGGCAAGUCAGAUGUGAAAGGUACCGGCUCAACCGGUGCACAUGCAUUUGAAACUGAAAGACUUGAGUAUUGGAGAGGCAAGUGGAAUUCCUAGUGUAGCGGUGAAAUGCGUAGAUAUUAGGAGGAACACCGGUGGCGAAGGCGGCUUGCUGGACAAAUACUGACGCUGAGGUGCGAAAGCGUGGGGAGCAAACA
rnacentral:rRNA from 2 species